rnacentral:tRNA from 1 species
UAGCUCAGUCAGUAGAGCGUGACGCUAACAACGCUAAGGUGGCGGGUUCGAUUCCCGU